AGCAAUACGUCAGCGGCAGACGGGUGAGUAACGCGUGGGAACGUACCUUUUGGUUCGGAACAACACAGGGAAACUUGUGCUAAUACCGGAUAAGCCCUUACGGGGAAAGAUUUAUCGCCGAAAGAUCGGCCCGCGUCUGAUUAGCUAGUUGGUGGGGUAACGGCCCACCAAGGCGACGAUCAGUAGCUGGUCUGAGAGGAUGAUCAGCCACAUUGGGACUGAGACACGGCCCAAACUCCUACGGGAGGCAGCAGUGGGGAAUAUUGGACAAUGGGCGCAAGCCUGAUCCAGCCAUGCCGCGUGAGUGAUGAAGGCCCUAGGGUUGUAAAGCUCUUUUGUGCGGGAAGAUAAUGACGGUACCGCAAGAAUAAGCCCCGGCUAACUUCGUGCCAGCAGCCGCGGUAAUACGAAGGGGGCUAGCGUUGCUCGGAAUCACUGGGCGUAAAGGGUGCGUAGGCGGGUCUUUAAGUCAGGGGUGAAAUCCUGGAGCUCAACUCCAGAACUGCCUUUGAUACUGAGGAUCUUGAGUUCGGGAGAGGUGAGUGGAACUGCGAGUGUAGAGGUGAAAUUCGUAGAUAUUCGCAAGAACACCAGUGGCCGAAGGCGGCUCACUGGCCCGAUACUGACGCUGAGG
rnacentral:rRNA from 1 species